GGCAGCAUGUUCGGUUAUGCGUCAAGAAUACAGCAUAGCAAGUUUGUAUGAAGGUCUGGUUAGUAAAUGGGUACAUAGUUCAAUAGUAGUAUCCUCUAAAACGCACUGGUGACAAACACACUUUGCUGCCCUGUUUCCAAUUGUCCACAUGGCAGGGAGAACCUAUUCAAAUACCUUGUAACUGGAGAUUCCUUCAAAACGAUUGAUUAUCGUGUAGGGCACUGCAAGGUUGGGUGACCAGGACCAUUUGGGACUGCCUCCUGGAGGAAUUCAGGUGUGUGAAGGCUACCUGUGUCCUACAUAACUUCAUGGGUAUGGACACAAGGACCAGGAGGGGAUCUGCAGCCACAGUUGUGUGCCAGAGGAGAACCCCCAGUCCCAUCAUCGCCACCUCACCCUGCUUUUAAGAUAACCUUCGGGCCGACGAGACACUAGUAUGUAAUUGUGAUGAACAGAGAAUAUUUGGGUAGCACUGAUUCAUGAAUCAUAUCCCUGCUCCUAUGUUCUUAUCUCUUUCCCUUUCUGUCUUUUACACCUCUCUCGCCACCUCCUUUCUUCCUCUGUUUUUAUAAUGCACAACAGAUGUGCAUUGAAGUACAUAUUGAAUUUGCAUUGAUAUUAUAAUUGUAAUAUUAUAAAUACAUGUAUUUAUAACACUUGGAUAAUGAACUUCUUUCAAUAAAGUGUUUCACAUUCUCUACUGGUUGAAAUUAAGUCUCUCAUUUGUGUUUAUCAGAUCAAUGCAGAUGAAGGGCAUUAGACAUUGAGAUUUUAGAGUAUUUACAUGAUGCAUUUAUCAUCAUUAGUCAUUUAGGUCAACAUUGGAUCAUUCAGAGAUCCUCACUGAACUUCUGGAGAGAGUUUGCUGCACUGAAAGUAAAGGGGCUGAAUAAUUUUGCCCGCCCAAUUUUUCAGUUUUUGAUUUGUUAAAAAAGUUUGAAAUAUCCAAUAAAUGUCGUUCCACUUCA